GCCCAGGUGGCGGAACGGUAGACGCGCCGGUUUCAGGGACCGGUCCCCUUCGGGGGGUGGGGGUUCGACUCCCCCUCUGGGCACCA
rnacentral:tRNA from 1 species